CAGCCGCCGCGGUAAUACGGGGUGGGCGAGCGUUGCCCGGAAUUACUGGGUUUAAAGGGGGUGUAGGCGGUCCGGAGAGUCAGGUGUGUAAUCCAACCGCUCAACGGUUGGGCUGCACCUGAUACUUCCGGGCUAGAGGGCGGUAGAGGAGAGCGGAACUCCCGGUGUAGCGGUGAAAUGCGUAGAUAUCGGGAGGAACGCCGGUGGCGAAGGCGGCUCUCUGGGCCGUUCCUGACGCUGAGGCCCGAAAGCUGGGGGAGCGAAAGGGAUUAGAUACCCCUGUAGUCCCAGCCGUAAACGAUGGGCACUAGGUGUUCCUCCGAAGGGGGGAGUGCCGACGGGAAACCAUUAAGUGCCCCACCUGGGGAGUACGCCCGCAAGGGUGAAACUUAAAGGAAUUGGCGGG
rnacentral:rRNA from 1 species